GAUGAACGCUGGCGGCGUGCUUAACACAUGCAAGUCGAACGGAGUUUAUAUAGAAGGAGUCUUCGGACAACAGAAGUAUAAACUUAGUGGCGGACGGGUGAGUAACGCGUGGGUAACCUGCCUUAUACAAGGGGAUAACAGAGGGAAACUUCUGCUAAUACCGUAUAAAAAUAUUUCACGCAUGUGAAAUAUUUGAAAGAUUUAUCAGUAUAAGAUGGACCCGCGUCUGAUUAGGUAGUUGGUGAGGUAGAGGCUCACCAAGCCGACGAUCGGUAGCCGAUCUGAGAGGAUGACCGGCCACAUUGGGACUGAGACACGGCCCAAACUCCUACGGGAGGCAGCAGUGGGGAAUAUUGGACAAUGGGGGCAACCCUGAUCCAGCGACGCCGCGUGAGUGAAGAAGUAUUUCGGUAUGUAAAGCUCUAUCGAUAACGGAAGAAAAUGACAAGCCGUUAAGGAAGAAGCCCCGGCUAACUACGUGCCAGCAGCCGCGGUAAUACGUAGGGGGCAAGCGUUAUCCGGAUUUACUGGGUGUAAAGGGAGCGUAGACGGCAUAUAAAGUCUGAAGUGAAAUCCCGCAGCUCAACUGCGGAGUUGCUUUGGAAACUUAUAAGCUGGAGUGUCGGAGGGGUAAGCGGAAUUCCCAGUGUAGCGGUGAAAUGCGUAGAUAUUGGGAGGAACACCGGAGGCGAAGGCGGCUUACUGGAAGAUAACUGACGUUGAGGCUCGAAGGCGUGGGUAGCAAACAGG
rnacentral:rRNA from 1 species